CCUAAUGUGGGAUGCCUAAUCCCUUUGGGUAUAAGCUAGGUGGCGCUAAAUGUUGUUGCCAUUCCUAUAUGGUUUGGGUUUUCCAUAUAGCACAAGGAGUUUGAAUUUGAUUCAAAUUAAUUAAACCUGAUCUUCAAGUGGAAUUUGGAAUUUAAGAGUCCUAAUUAGAUUAGGACUAAAGAUUUUAAAUGUGUAUAUAAGGAGGGCUAUGGACAAGGGGUGGCAACAAGAGAAAGAAGAAGGCUGCAUAGGGC
rnacentral:lncRNA from 1 species